rnacentral:lncRNA from 1 species
AGAAUGUACUAUUCAAAAAAGGAUGCAAUGGAGAACAUUUACAGAGGACUGUGGGUAAAGCAAAGUCUUCAAGGGAAGAUAACAAAGGAUGAAACAAUGGUGUUGUGUGACUUCCUAGUGUGAAUCAUGGCAAUACAGUGAAAGACAGUGAUUUACUGCUUUUGAGGGCGUGCAUGUAUAUGAUUAACGGAUGGAAGUGCAGGACUCCAAGAUUUACUUCCUUCCCUUUCCAGCAGAAUUACCUGAGACGAGUAAAAUCUACUGGUGGAGUCACUCCAUUAUUCUUAUCUGUGGAGAUCUAGAUCUUGAUUUGAAAGUUUCUGAGAAAAUCUUCAGCUCAGACUUGAGGGUCAACUUUACCAGCUGAAGGAUCUGCAUUUACUGCUCAACCACAUCUAAUUUGAUGUCCUCUGCAGAUUUAAAAUGUGUGCCUUCUUUUCCGUCACCAAGUCAUCCCUGGGUUACUACUGAACAUCCUUCUCAAUUCCCCCCGACCCAUGGAUGGCUGUUCUCCAUUGUCUGUUUCACCAGAUGUCCUCAAAACAAACAGACAGAAGAAGGAAGUGGCUAAUGGAGCUGUGGAGUCCAAGUGUGACUGCCAAGAGGAAUCCAGCAAAGCCAAAAAGCCCAAGCAUGUAGCCCUGCCCGAAGCACGCCACACGCAUGGAAAACCCAGAGGAAAUGAGUGAGGAUCAAUGGGAAGAAGAGAGCCAGCCAGCUCUGUAUUCUAAGAACCUGGAAACAAUCUUUAUUCACACUGUUAAGACGAUUGAGAAAAAUGGAUGGAUAGAGUUUAUUUGCUAAGAGAAAAACUGAGUGACUACCUAGCUACCUCACUCCUUUUUGCUCUAUUGGAAGUUGAAGAUUUGUCCAGGAGCAGAUAGCUGAAGAGAGAGAGAGAGAAGAGAGAACGGCUUACAGCUCAGGUCCUCUCUCCAUGCUUAGGAACCACUACAAAUGCUACUGCCUUGAGUCUCAUUUUGUUUCCCUCUGGAAACCACAUGUGUACCUUGUUUGCAACAGUAUGGGCUCACAGGCAGAAGGAAUUUUCCUUGUCUUGGAUGAGACUUUUGACUUGGACUUUUGGGUUAAGGAUUUACAGAAAGCGUGGUGCUGGCAUCUGAUCAGCUUCUGGGGUGGCCUCAGGAAGCUUACAAUCAUGGUGGCAUUUGAAGUGGAAGCGAGAGAGAGAAGAGGAGAUGCAACACACUUUUAAACAAGAUUUCAGGAGAACUCAUUCACUAUGUUCUGGAGACCAGAAGGCCAAAAUCAAAAGUAUGGGCAGGCUUGAUUUCUUUAGAAGACUCCAGCGGAGAACUGUGUCUCCUUGCUUCUGAUUCUACAUCUCCAUCCAUGGGCCACUGUUUCAGCAACCUCAGCCAGUGCAACACAACCUCAGCCAAGAAGAGUAUGCAGAGAAAGGAGUCCCCUACCUGCCACAAAACUGUUGUCUGAAAACUGUCUCAUAUUGUCUCAAGUUGUCAUUCAUUGUGAAUUAGACCUGUUUAACAUGUAAUCUGCAA